UUUCCGUAGGUGAACCUGCGGAAGGAUCAUUACCACACCUUAACACAAGAAUUCGAGCUGCCUCACGGCGCUCGUCUUCGGUUACGUGGAACUAUUGUUUGGGCGGUUGCCUCACAGCAAUCCGUCUCGCCGAGGGAGCAAUCUCGAGGCCAUUCUCAUCCACUUGAUCACUCAAGUGCGAUUACCCAACACAAUCUGAUGGUAACUCAUCCACCCAGUCGGCGCAAGCCGUCUGUAUAAGAUGAAACGAAACUAACACUUUCAGCAACGGAUGUCUUGGCUCCC
rnacentral:misc_RNA from 1 species